GAUGAACGCUGGCGGCGUGCCUAAUACAUGCAAGUCGAGCGAACAGACGAGGAGCUUGCCCCUCUGACGUUAGCGGCGGACGGGUGAGUAACACGUGGAUAACCUACCUAUAAGACUGGGAUAACUUCGGGAAACCGGAGCUAAUACCGGAUAAUAUAUUGAACCGCAUGGUUCAAUAGUGAAAGACGGUUUUGCUGUCACUUAUAGAUGGAUCCGCGCCGCAUUAGCUAGUUGGUAAGGUAACGGCUUACCAAGGCAACGAUGCGUAGCCGACCUGAGAGGGUGAUCGGCCACACUGGCACUGAGACACGGUCCAGAAUACUACGGGAGGCAGCAGUAGGGAAUCUUCCGCAAUGGGCGAAAGCCUGACGGAGCAACGCCGCGUGAGUGAUGAAGGUCUUCGGAUCGUAAAACUCUGUUAUUAGGGAAGAACACAUGUGUAAGUAACUAUGCACGUCUUGACGGUACCUAAUCAGAAAGCCACGGCUAACUACGUG
rnacentral:rRNA from 1 species